UGGGGAAUUUUCCGCAAUGGGCGAAAGCCUGACGGAGCAAUGCCGCGUGGAGGUGGAAGGCCUACGGGUCAUCAACUUCUUUUCUCGGAGAAGAAACAAUGACGGUAUCUGAGGAAUAAGCAUCGGCUAACUCUGUGCCAG
rnacentral:rRNA from 1 species